UACGUAGGGGGCAAGCGUUGUCCGGAAUCAUUGGGCGUAAAGCGCGUGUAGGCGGUUCGAUAAGUCUGCUGUGAAAGUCCAGGGCUCAACCCUGGGAUGCCGGUGGAUACUGUCGGACUAGAGUACGGAAGAGGCGAGUGGAAUUCCCGGUGUAGCGGUGAAAUGCGCAGAUAUCGGGAGGAACACCAAUUGCGAAGGCAGCUCGCUGGGACGUCACUGACGCUGAGACGCGAAAGCGUGGGGAGCGAACGAG
rnacentral:rRNA from 1 species